rnacentral:rRNA from 1 species
AUUGAACGCUGGCGGCAUGCCUAACACAUGCAAGUCGAACGAUUGGCGGACGUGUGUGUAAUGUCUGGGAACCUGCCUGUUGGAGGGGGUUAACUACUGGAAACGUUAGCUAAUACCGCAUACCAUCGGAUGUGCCCAGAUGUGAUUAGCUAUUAGGUGGGGUAAAGGCUCACCUUGGCGACGAUCCCUAUCUGGUCUGAGAGGAUGACGAGCCACACUGGAACGGGGAAACGGUCCAGACUCCAACGGGAGGCAGAAGAGGGGAAUAUUGCAAAAUGGGCGAAAGCCUGAUGCAGACAUGCGGCGUGUAUGAAGAAGGCCUUCGGGUUGUAAAGUACUUUCAGCGGGGAGGCGUUAACCGAAGAAGAAGCACCGGCUAACUCCGUGCCAGCAGCCGCGGUAAUUC